UCUAUUACAUUAGGUAUACCCUUUUUUCUUCUCUUUUUCAAUCUCAUUCUUUUCUUUCUCUCCAUUCUCUUGGCAGACCGACUUUCCCCCAUUUUCAGAAAUCAGAGCUUUCACUAAGCUCAUGCAAAAUCGGGUUUGAACCUAUGGUGUGCAUUUGAUCUACUGAAAAUCAAAGUCCUGGAGUCUACGGUGAAGCCAUUUUUCAGCUUCUCAAAUCAGGUUAUAAUUCUUGAGAUGGAACGUGAACAUCGUAGAUGGAUGUACGAUAGGAAUCGUCCUAAUCGUUGUGGAUUAAAGGAAGAAUUUGUUGAAGGUGUUAAAGGAUUUAUUGCUCAUGCAAAAAUGCUUCCUGAAUUUCGUAACGAAGGAAUAAUUAGGUGUCCUUAUGUGAAAUGCAAGUGUACAAAGUUAUUGCAAUCGGAAAUGUUAAAGUUCAUCUUUAUAGCAAGGGGUUUAGGGAAAAUUAUUAUGUGUGGACCGUUCAUGGAGAGAACUAUUGUAGUGUUGGUGAUUUUUAUUUUCAAAAUCUAGUUAGUGGUGAGAGAAGUACACAAAUGGAGAAUAAUGUUGAGAAUUCUCAAUUACAUGAAAUGGUGUCAGAUGCUUUUGGUUUU